rnacentral:rRNA from 1 species
AUGCCUUUUGGGUUAACUAAUGCACCUGGUACUUUCAUGAGACUAAUGAACGAAGUUUUACGUGCUUUCAUUGGACGAUUUGUGGUAGUCUAUUUUGAUGAUAUACUGAUUUAUAGCAAAUCUUUGGAAGAACAUUUGGAACAUUUACGUGCUGUUUUUAUUGCUCUACGUGAUGCACGUUUGUUUGGUAACCUUGGGAAGUGCACCUUUUGCACCGACCGAGUAUCUUUUCUUGGCUAUGUUGUUACUCCACAGGGAAUUGAGGUUGAUAAAGCCAAGAUUGAAGCUAUUGAGAGUUGGCCGCAGCCCAAAACGGUCACACAAGUGCGGAGUUUUUUUGGACUCGCUGGUUUCUAU